CACACCUGGAGCCUCUGUGUUCCCAGUUAGCUGCUACAGCUGGGGUCUGAGAGAUGACCUCGUCUGUAUGAUCAGCAACACCUGCCCAGCAGUAACCAGGACAGCCCAAUACAGAGCACAAAUGAGUAGCAUGAGGUGGGAGUUACUGCUGCCCGCCCCUGGGAGCAGAUGCUGUUGGUUCUGAGGCUGCAGCUCAGCAGCUGCGGGCUGCCUGAGGUGCUCCCCGAAUGCAGACCUCAUUCUGCACCCCACACAAGCAGCAAAGUGCAGAGCCCUCAUCUCACAGCGCUGUGGGGAUUCAUUGCAAGGAUUGACAUGCUCUGAUGCAGAGCAAGCCUACCUUUCAUGCUUUAUUUUGUAGAGAAAAACGCACUGGCAGCACCAGGAAGGUGUUUAAUUGCGCCCUGUGACUGCAAGUUUUAUAACCCCAAAUCGGGAUGCAGUGUAUUUAAUUCAAUUAAGUGCUAUAAACCUCCCGUUAUCCCCAUCAGAUGUUAACGAACCCUGGAACGCACAGCCUGCUUGAUUUGCAGCUCCUGCAGCACCGAGCUGCCGUCAUCUAUACGUUUCUCAGCUGUUUCCAAACAGAACAGAUUUUUAUUACUCUUUGGCCACCUGCCCAGAAUCGGUUACAAUUUGGGGAGGGGGGAAUGAGAAGACAGAAAUUCCUCUUUCUCUUCUUCUCCCCUUUGCCACAAAGGGAUUCUGAAAGGUGUAGAAAAUGAACCAAGUGCCACAGCAAACCAAACGGGGGUGAGCUGCUGGGGGGGGCUCCUAUGAACCGACACCAUCGGUCCCCCCCCAGGGGCGGCGGUGCUGCGUCUGAAGGCACCGGGAGCCGCGUGUCCCCCCCCUCCCACCAGGGAGCAGCAGGGCUGGAGAUGGGCAGGAGUGCUGCAGGAAUACGGCAGGGGAUGCGGCGAAGGACAAACCCUACAGAAAGCCGAGUGGCGUCCGGGACCUUGGAGAAAUCUCCCGAUGCUUUGUGCGGAGGAACGCGGCCCCGAUGCGCGGAGCGGCUGCGCAGGGAGAGCCGGCUGGGCUUCGGGGCUGUGCUGCUCCUCCGAAGCACAACGCUUUGCUCGCACUGCCUGAAGACACCGCCGUCCUCAUCGUCUAACGUGGUUAUUUCCGGCUUUAUUUUUUCCCUGGGUGAUGUUUGGAGUCCAGCCUGCUCCAUCUCCAGGCCGAGCGUUGUCACGCAAUGCGUUGGCAGAGCAGAGCUGCCAGAGGAGGAUCGGGGCUGGAGGGAGAAGAUGCAAAAGUUGGAAGAUGAUUUCCUCCGCGAGCUCUUUGCUUUCUUUUUGUUUUCAGCCUCCCCGAGGCUUUUCAGCUCGCUAAUCUGCGUGCUCUGCUGGCAGCCGUGCUGACCGGCGCUGUCUCAUCGAUGCUGCACGUUGCACUGCAUCCUGCUGACAGCAGUCGUCCCAUUCCAGCCUACUUUGGGGACAUCUCACCCAUAGCAGCUGAGUGUGCUGGACGGGAACGUCGAGGACUGCUGGGAACAGAUGGGUUUUGUCCUGAGGUCUGGGCUAGGAAUAGUGCUGUGGAGUGAAAUGCUUUGGCAGAGCUCAGCGAGGAGCACAGGAUGCACUGAGCAGAAGGAGCAGCAGGGAGCACAGCUCUGCUGACACUCUGCCCUUCUCCCCACCUGCAGCUCCCAGGUCUUUCCACACUGUUACUGUGCAGCUUCCCAACCCCUGUGCCCCUCUGUGCCAUUUCUGUGUGCCCCAAGCAGAGCCCUCCUGUGGGCACCCUUCAUCAAACAGAAGAGGUUUCAAAGUGCCACCCCUCUGUCCAAGGAUGAAAGAGCCUCGCUGCCUGCGCUCUCCCCAGCAA